rnacentral:rRNA from 2 species
GUAGGUGAAGUGAUUUACUCAUGGAGCUGAAGUCAGUCGAAGAUACCAGCUGGCUGCAACUGUUUAUUAAAAACACAGCACUGUGCAAACACGAAAGUGGACGUAUACGGUGUGACGCCUGCCCGGUGCCGGAAGGUUAAUUGAUGGGGUCAGCGCAAGCGAAGCUCCUGAUCGAAGCCCCGGUAAACGGCGGCCGUAACUAUAACGGUCCUAAGGUAGCGAAAUUCCUUGUCGGGUAAGUUCCGACCUGCACGAAUGGCGUAAUGAUGGCCAGGCUGUCUCCACCCGAGACUCAGUGAAAUUGAACUCGCUGUGAAGAUGCAGUGUACCCGCGGCAAGACGGAAAGACCCCGUGAACCUUUACUAUAGCUUGACACUGAACAUUGAGCCUUGAUGUGUAGGAUAGGUGGGAGGCUUUGAAGCGUGGACGCCAGUCUGCGUGGAGCCGACCUUGAAAUACCACCCUUUAAUGUUUGAUGUUCUAACGUGGACCCGUAAUCCGGGUUGCGGACAGUGUCUGGUGGGUAGUUUGACUGGGGCGGUCUCCUCCUAAAGAGUAACGGAGGAGCACGAAGGUUGGCUAAUCCUGGUCGGACAUCAGGAGGUUAGUGCAAUGGCAUAAGCCAGCUUGACUGCGAGCGUGACGGCGCGAGCAGGUGCGAAAGCAGGUCAUAGUGAUCCGGUGGUUCUGAAUGGAAGGGCCAUCGCUCAACGGAUAAAAGGUACUCCGGGGAUAACAGGCUGAUACCGCCCAAGAGUUCAUAUCGACGGCGGUGUUUGGCACCUCGAUGUCGGCUCAUCACAUCCUGGGGCUGAAGUAGGUCCCAAGGGUAUGGCUGUUCGCCAUUUAAAGUGGUACGCGAGCUGGGUUUAGAACGUCGUGAGACAGUUCGGUCCCUAUCUGCCGUGGGCGCUGGAGAACUGAGGGGGGCUGCUCCUAGUACGAGAGGACCGGAGUGGACGCAUCACUGGUGUUCGGGUUGUCAUGCCAAUGGCACUGCCCGGUAGCUAAAUGCGGAAGAGAUAAGUGCUGAAAGCAUCUAAGCACGAAACUUGCCCCGAGAUGAGUUCUCCCUGAGACUUAGAGUCUCCUGAAGGAACGUUGAAGACGACGACGUUGAUAGGCCGGGUGUGUAAGCGCAGCGAUGCGUUGAGCUAACCGGUACUAAUGAACCGUGAGGCUUAACCUUACAACGCCGAAG